rnacentral:lncRNA from 1 species
UUUCUCAAUGAUGUGGUUGUGAGACUCGUUUUGAAUAGGUGAUUUAGAGGAUGACCAUUCCCAGAUUGUACACUUAAACCCACAGCCUGCAAUUUGAUAAAUAAAAUUCAUUGAGAUCAAAAAAUGCUAAACAUGAUUGUGUUACAUGUCAUAGCCCUGAAUCGCUUUAAUUAUUGGUUAUAAAUCUAUUAAAAAUUAUGAUUGACAUUUUUAUUAUUUUGCAUAUUAUUAUAAAUGAUAAAUCUUAUAAACCCUUUGAUACUACAAAUCACUUGUCUGAAAUACUAUUGGAAAUUAGAUUGAAAUAAUUGUUAGGCAUGCAAGUUCCUGAGGGUUUGACAUCCGACUACUUAAGAGCCACUAUAUUACUUGCUAGACCACGUACGUUUGCGUGUGCGGUAGGCCACAACAAAUUUUUUGGCGUAGUUGUAGGGGACUUAAGAAAUUAGUGAUUUUUUGAAUUUUGUUUUUGAUAAUUUUUAUAAGUAUUGACAACUUUAUAUUAGUGGUUGAUUUUUGCAGGUCUAAUUUGCACCUCAGGCUGUUAAGAGAAAGAGAAUUAGUUAAACCAUACUUGGAUCCUGAACGAGUAUCUUAUCAACGGCGGGGGGCCAACAACUUUUUAAUACCCAAUUCAACAACUUCAGCUGGCUGAUUGAAAGAAAUUGUUCCUACUGAAAUGGCAACAGAUAGGUUAGUUCAUGAGGUGGAAAUCCCACUUGAUAAUAAUGUCACUAAUAGCAUUUGUAAACUGUAUGCAGGAGGUUGAUUUGAGCUAAAAUAGAAUAUGAUGCAACUAUUACACACUAGAGGGAAGUUCACAAGACUAUCUCAUGAGGAUCCACACCAGUACUUGCAAAUGUUUUUUGAGAUAAGUUUUGCAUCCUACCGCACACACAAGUUUAUAUGGUCGUACAAGUAAUAAAGUGACCCUUUUGAAUCGAAUAUCUAUUUCACAGGCACUUGAUGUUUAUCAAGCAAUCCAAUUCUAGAAUUACUAAUGACAUUAAAUAAGUGAGAUUUUGUAACAAGUGUAUGAGAUUUGUAAUUAUAACUAAGUAACAAAACUUAAUAAUGAUAUAAAAUUUGGAUUGUAAAUAAUAUGGAGAGAAUUCUAGGGUUGAGGCAUUUACUUCACAUUCAUGGAUAAAUAUGGUUUCUAGCCGGUAUUAGUGUUUAUCGUGAUUUUUGAUUUAUAGGGUUGAUAUUAUAAAUUGGGACUGGACAUACUCUAGUUCAUCUACCCAAAUUAAUCUCACAACAACAUCGUUGAGCGGGGGGUAUCUUUAAUUGGAUGUAUUAAGCUAUCUUCCUAUUUUGUUAAUCAAAUGAGGUGUUUAGGUAUAUCCCUAUCCUAACCGCAAAUAAUAUUUUAACAAUUAGUACCUAACAAUUAAAUAUAUGAUUUAUACUCCCUACAUUCUUCAUUCCAUCUGUACACUCCUAUGGCCAAUUUAUUUUGAGACUUAGAUUUAUCCUAAAGUUCAUAACGCUUUAGAAUAGUAAUACAAGAAUGCAAGAACAAUCACAUGACUUAAUAAACAUAUAAACCAACUAUAAAACCAUAAUUACACAAUCAUGUUGUAUCAUCAAACCUAUAAUGAGGGUGUUUAUCCAUUCAUAAUAUUACAAAGGAUUACAAUAAUGGAAUCCAUAAGUAUAAACUACAACGAAAACUAAAGUGGAGAAGAAAGAACCCGAGUGUAGAGACCUUGGAUGCCUUCUCUUCUCUCCAAUCUUGUAUUAUUUUAAAAGUGUUGUGUAAGUGUGACUAAGUACUCCUUUAUAGUACUUUAGGUCAUCCAUGGGAAGCCUAACACGAAAUAUAUGUAUUUAUAUCAUUGCCCCUCACUUAAAAGACAUAAAAAUCAACUUUUGGAUGUCCCGAAAGAGAGCUUGCAUCGCAAGACCAAAACCAGGAUUGGGGGGGAGGGGGGGAGGUAUCCCACCCAAAGAAAGGGUGAGGCAUUGUUACCUCUACCUGGGGGUUGGCACAUUUACC